rnacentral:rRNA from 1 species
AACGAACGCUGGCGGCAUGCCUAACACAUGCAAGUCGAACGAGACCUUCGGGUCUAGUGGCGCACGGGUGCGUAACGCGUGGGAAUCUGCCCUUGGGUUCGGAAUAACAGUUAGAAAUGACUGCUAAUACCGGAUGAUGACGUAAGUCCAAAGAUUUAUCGCCCAAGGAUGAGCCCGCGUAGGAUUAGCUAGUUGGUAAGGUAAAGGCUUACCAAGGCGACGAUCCUUAGCUGGUCUGAGAGGAUGAUCAGCCACACUGGGACUGAGACACGGCCCAGACUCCUACGGGAGGCAGCAGUGGGGAAUAUUGGACAAUGGGCGAAAGCCUGAUCCAGCAAUGCCGCGUGAGUGAUGAAGGCCUUAGGGUUGUAAAGCUCUUUUACCAGGGAUGAUAAUGACAGUACUUGAGGAGGAAGCCCCGGCUAACUACGUGCCAGCCGCCGCCGUAAAAC